rnacentral:lncRNA from 1 species
AUGUGUCGAUAUAAAUUCAUCACUUGUGGAGUUCCCGUCGUGGCUCAAUUCUAAGACCCAAACAAAUGCUACCCUUGCUAUCUUUGCCUUUCACUCACAAGGAAUUCCUCUCCUCAAGGUGCAAAUAACAUCAGAUUGCCCCCUUCUGAUUGAUUAUGAACCAUCCACUGAGAGGCAUUUAAAAUCGGGUUCCUCUUUGGGGUCCCACAAAAACUCUGGGUAGGGGCGAGGGGUCACACAGCCCCAAAGAGGUCCUCCAGGGGUCCAGGUCAGGGUGGCUGCCCCUCUGGGCAGUGCUGCGGCCUUACCCCAUGGCACACAUUCACUGGCCUUCUGCUCCAUCUGGCAGAGCCCUGCCAAUGCGGGGCCUCCAGGGCCACCCCACAUUCUCCCUGGUGGGCCUGCCUGGAGCCUCCACACGGACCUGGAGCCCACAGAUGUGCCCUGCAGCCAUCUCCCCCUCACAGGUGAGCUCAAGGCUACCUUUUCCUGGCCCCUGGGAGGCAGACAGCAGGCUCAGGCACUGUCCCCUUUCCAAGCCUCCAAAACACAACACAUGCAUUCCGCCACUUUCUGCCAUGACAGGACAUCAGCCUUAAAACCACAAAGGUUUUCUGAAUGUAAGGAGGGCUCAAGAUCUUAAGAAGGGCAAAGUCUGGCUCUCUUCCUGGAAAGAGAAACAUAGCCAUAAGCCCACUCUGUCCCCACCCAACAAGGAUGAACGGAAUUAUAUAGCAAAACAUCCAUGAAACUAAACAACCAAAAUUUCUCCAUCUCUCACCCAGCAUCCUGCUACACAGAUAUUCACUGAGCACUUGCCAUGCGUGCUCUGUUAGGCUUGGUAGAAGCAAGCCCAUUUUAUCUUUGCAGCAGUGCUGCAAGAAAAAGACAGCAGACUCUCUUCUCCAAAUGAUGGCUGAGAUGUGUUCAGGUCAAGCAGUAGAGCCCGGACCGGCACCUACCGGAUGCUCAUGGUUGAGAUUUGCGUAAAUACUUGGGGAUGAAUGGACUUCUAUAACUGGAUAACUUUUAGAAAACUACAUACCACCUGCUAUGCCUUUCUCUGUCCAGUGGUGAGGACGUCUUGCUGGAUUAGCUAGCGCAUUCUGCCUGCCCCUCCCGGGGGGUCUGCUUUUGUGCCUUGGGCUGUC